CGAUUGCCACCUGAGCUAGCCUCUGUGGCCCAUUUUCGUCAGCUUCAGAGGGUGGAUUUCUCAGUGUUGCUUUUUCCCCAGAUCUCCACGUCCCUCAGUGUGUGUGUGUGUGAGUGUGUGUGUUUCUUUGCAAGAUUGGCACUUGAGCUAACGUGUGUUGCCAGUCUUUGUCAGUCAGAGGCUAGAUUUUUCAGUAUUGCUCUUUCCCAAGGUCUCCACUCCCUUGCUCUUUUCUUUCUUUCUUUCUUUCUUUCUUUCUUUCUUUCUUUCUUUCUUUUUGGCUUAAAUAUUGUCACCUGAGCGAGGCUCUGUUGCCCUGCUUCCUCCGUUUCAGAGGGUACCUUUUUUCAGGGUUGCUUUUUCACCGGGUCUCCUCGCCAUUGUAGUUUUGUAUUUUAUUUUAUUUUUUUGCUUAAUGAUUGCCACAUGAGGUAGCCUCUGUUGCCCAUUUCGUCAGCUUCAGAGGGUUGGAUUUCUCAGUGUUGCUUUUUCCCCAAGUCUUCCACGCCCUUGUGUUUUCCUUUUGCUUUAACGAUUGCCCCCUGAGCUAGCCUCUGUUGCCCCAUCGUCGUCAGUUUCAGAGAGUACAUUUCUCAGUGCUGCUUUUUCCCCAGGUCUCCACGCCCUUUGUGUGUUUCUUUUGCUUAACGAUUGCCACCUGAGCUAGCCUCUGUGGCCCAUCUUUGUCAGUUUCAGAGGGUAGAUUUCUCAGUCUUGCUCUUUCCCAAGUUCUGCACGCCCUUGUGUGUGGGUUUUUUUUUUUUUUUUUUUUUUUGCUCAAAUAUUGAACCUAAGCUAGCAUCUGUUGCCCUUCUUCGUCAGUUUCAGAGGGUGGAUUUCUCCGUGUUGCUUUUUCCCCAGGUCUCCACGCCCUUGUGUGUUUCUUUUGCUUAACGAUUGCCACCUGAGCUAGCCUCUGUGGCCCAUUUUCGUCAGCUUCAGAGGGUGGAUUUCUCAGUGUUGCUUUUUCCCCAGGUCUCCAAGUCCCUCAGUGUGUGUGUGUGUGAGUGUGUGUGUUUUCUUUGCAAGAUUGGCACUUGAGCUAACGUGAGUUGCCAGUCUUUGUCAGUCAGAGGCUAGAUUUUUCAGUAUCGCUCUUUGCCAAGGUCUCCACUCGCUUGCUCUUGUCUUUCUUCCUCCCUUUGUUUCUUUCUUUCUUUCUUUUUGGCUUAAAUAUUGUCAGCUGAGCUAGGCUCUGUUGCCCUGCUUCCUCCGUUUCAGAGGGUACCUUUUUUCAGGGUUGCUUUUUCACCGGGUCUCCUCGCCAUUGUAGUUUUUUAUUUUAUUUAUUUAUUUUUUU
rnacentral:lncRNA from 1 species